rnacentral:misc_RNA from 1 species
AAGACUAUAGACCUGCGGAGUACCUGCGGAAGGAUCAUUACAUGGCGGAGAAGGUGGGCAACCUGGCCAACAUCCAGGUUGUGAUGCCUUCACGCUCUUCCACCCUUGUCUAUUUGCACCUUCUGUCGUUCCCUCGGCGGGUUUCGACCCGCCGGCGGCAACAUUGAAAAACCCUUUUUGCAGUUAGCAUUCAAUUCUUCUGAUCAAAUAUUAAAUCAUUACAACUUUCAACAACGGAUC